rnacentral:rRNA from 1 species
UACGGAGGAUCCGAGCGUUAUCCGGAUUUAUUGGGUUUAAAGGGAGCGCAGGUGGAUUGUUAAGUCAGUUGUGAAAGUUUGCGGCUCAACCGUAAAAUUGCAGUUGAAACUGGCAGUCUUGAGUACAGUAGAGGUGGGCGGAAUUCGUGGUGUAGCGGUGAAAUGCUUAGAUAUCACGAAGAACUCCGAUUGCGAAGGCAGCUCACUAGACUGCAACUGACACUGAUGCUCGAAAGUGUGGGUAUCAAACAGG